rnacentral:rRNA from 1 species
UACGACGGGGGCUAGCGUUGUUCGGAAUUACUGGGCGUAAAGGGCGCGUAGGCGGUGUGUCAAGUCAGGCGUGAAAGCCCCGGGCUCAACCUGGGAACCGCGCUUGAGACUGGCACGCUAGAGUCCGGGAGAGGAUGGUGGAAUUCCCAGUGUAGAGGUGAAAUUCGUAGAUAUUGGGAAGAACACCGAUGGCGAAGGCAGCCAUCUGGACCGGCACUGACGCUGAGGCGCGAAAGCGUGGGGAGCAAACAGG